UACAGAGGUCUCAAGCGUUGUUCGGAUUCAUUGGGCGUAAAGGGUGCGUAGGUGGCGCUGUAAGUCGGGUGUGAAAUUUCGGAGCUUAACUCCGAAACUGCAUUCGAUACUGCGGUGCUUGAGGACUGGAGAGGAGACUGGAAUUCAUGGUGUAGCAGUGAAAUGCGUAGAGAUCAUGAGGAAGACCAGUGGCGAAGGCGGGUCUCUGGACAGUUCCUGACGCUGAGGAGCGAAAGCGUGGGGAGCGAACAGG
rnacentral:rRNA from 1 species